AGAGUUUGAUCCUGGCUCAGAACGAACGCUGGCGGCGUGCUUAACACAUGCAAGUCGCGUGCGCAGUUUCCGUAGCAAUACGGAGAUGGGCGCACGGCGCACGGGUGCGUAACACGUGGGCAAUCUGCCCUUUGAUGGGGAAUAACCCGCCGAAAGGCGGGGCUAAUUCCGCAUAAGAUUCUUUGGACUUCGGUCUGGAGAUUGAAAGCAGCAAUGCGUCGAAGGAGGAGCCCGCGCCCGAUUAGCUAGUUGGUGAGGUAACGGCUCACCAAGGCUAUGAUCGGUAGCUGGUCUGAGAGGAUGAUCAGCCACACUGGAACUGAGACACGGUCCAGACUCCUACGGGAGGCAGCAGUGGGGAAUCUUGCACAAUGGGCGAAAGCCUGAUGCAGCGACGCCGCGUGGGGGAUGAAGCAUUUCGGUGUGUAAACCCCUUUCGACUGGGAAGAAUACCUCGCAAGAGGGGUGACGGUACCAGUAGAAGAAGCCCCGGCUAACUACGUGCCAGCAGCCGCGGUAAGACGUAGGGGGCCAGCGUUGUUCGGAAUUACUGGGUGUAAAGGGUUCGUAGGCGGUGCGGCAAGUUGGGAGUGAAAUCUCUGGGCUUAACCCAGAGGCUGCUUCCAAAACUGCUGUGCUCGAGUGUGAGAGAGGCUCGUGGAAUUGCAGGUAGCGGUGAAAUGCGUAGAUAUCUGCAGGAACACCCGUGGCGAAAGCGGCGAGCUGGAUCACUACUGACGCUGAGGAACGAAAGCUAGGGGAGCAAACAGGAUUAGAUACCCUAGUAGUCC
rnacentral:rRNA from 1 species